UACGUAGGGUGCAAGCGUUGUCCGGAAUUAUUGGGCGUAAAGGGCUCGUAGGCGGUCUGUCACGUCGGGAGUGAAAACUCAGGGCUUAACCCUGGGCCUGCAGUGGAUACGGGCAGACUAGAGGUAGGUAGGGGAGAAUGGAAUUCCCGGUGUAGCGGUGAAAUUCGUAGAUAUCAGGAGGAACACCAGUGGCGAAGGCGGCUUUCUGGACGGUAACUGACGCUGAGACGCGAAAGCGUGGGGAGCAAACAGG
rnacentral:rRNA from 1 species